AUGGAGGAAGCAGGGAAGGGUCUUGAUUGGGUUCAUUCGAAGGAGAAAUACAAGGAAUAUUUGAAGCAGCUUCCAGAUAUCAGCUCCAGCAAGAGCAAGGCAGCAUCUGUGGCAAACCCUCAUGUGGUCCGGAAGAGCAAAGGAGUUACAAUGAAGAAGAAUCUGAAGCUGCCUCAAACCAAGCAACAGAUGCCGAGGGCAGAUGCAGAAAUAAAUGUGGCGCAAACUAUUGUGCCAACUGUAGUGAUCAGAGAGCCAACCACCACUGAAGAUGUGUCAGCAAUACCUGUUGGGCCUACAACCAUCACAGGAGUUCAACAGAUCAAGGGUAAGAUUCCUCUGUCAAUAGCCCCACCUAAACCACCUAAGCAGCAAAAGAUUGUCAAGUUUGCCAAGUGCACAAAGGAGGAAUAG
rnacentral:rRNA from 1 species